rnacentral:rRNA from 1 species
UUAAAGAGAUAGUGGGGGACGGGUGAGUAACGCGUGAGAACCUGCCUUCAGGAUGGGGACAACAGCCGGAAACAGCUGCUAAAACCCAAUGUGCCGCAAGGUGAAAAAUUUAUUGCCUGAAGAGGGGCUCGCGUCUGAUUAGCUAGUUGGAGAGGUAAAGGCUCACCAAGGCGACGAUCAGUAGCUGGUCUGAGAGGAUGAUCAGCCACACUGGGACUGAGACACGGCCCAGACUCCUACGGGAGGCAGCAGUGGGGAAUCUUCCGCAAUGGGCGAAAGCUGACGGAGCAAUACCGCGUGAGGGAGGAAGGUCUAAUAGAUUGUAAACCUCUUUUUUCGGGAAAGAAAAAAAUGACGGUACCCGAAGAAUAAGCAUCGGCUAACUCCGUGCCAGCAGCCGCGGUAAUACGGAGGAUGCAAGCGUUAUCCGGAAUUAUUGGGCGUAAAGCGUCCGCAGUGGUACUACAAGUCUACUGUCAAAGACCAGAGCUCAACUCUGGGCAGGCGGUGGAAACUGUAAGACUAGAGACCGGUAGGGGUAGAGGGAAUUCCCAGUGUAGCGGUGAAAUGCGUAGAGAUUGGGAAGAACACCAGUGGGGAAGGCGCUCUACUGGGCCGGAACUGACACUCAGGGACGAAAGCUAGGGGAGCAAAAGGGAUUAGAUACCCCUGUAGUCCUAGCCGUAAACGAUGGAUACUAGGCGUAGCUUUUAUCAACUCAAGCUGUGUCGAAGCUAACGCGUUAAGUAUCCCGCCUGGGGAGUACGCACGCAAGUGUGAAACUCAAAGGAAUUGACGGGGGCCGCACAAGCGGUGGAGUAUGUGGUUUAAUUCGAUGCAACGCGAAGAACCUUACCAGGACUUUACAUGGGGCGAAUCCCGCCGAAAGGUAGGAGUGCCGCAAGGAACGCGCACACAGGUGGUGCAUGGGUGUCGUCAGCUCGUGUCGUGAGAUGUUGGGUUAAGUCCCGCAACGAGCGCAACCCUCGUCUUUAGUUGCCAGCAUUAAGAUGGGCACUCUAGAGAGACUGCCGGUGAUAAGCCGGAGGAAGGUGGGGAUGACGUCAAGUCAUCAUGCCCCUUACGUCCUGGGCUACACACGUACUACAAUGGUAGGGACAAAGGGCAGCAAGACCGCAAGGUGGAGCGAAUCCCAUCAAACCCUGCCUCAGUUCAGAUUGCAGGCUGCAACUCGCCUGCAUGAAGGAGGAAUCGCUAGUAAUCGCAGGUCAGCAUACUGCGGUGAAUCCGUUCCCGGGCCUUUUACACACCGCCCGUCACACCAUGGGAGCAAGCCACGCCCGAAGUCGUUACCCUAACCAGUU